rnacentral:rRNA from 1 species
CAGUAGCCGCGGUAAUACGCAGGUCCCGAGCGUUGUCCGGAUUUAUUGGGCGUAAAGCGAGCGCAGGCGGUUAGAAAAGUCUGAAGUGAAAGGCAGUGGCUCAACCAUUGUAGGCUUUGGAAACUGUUUAACUUGAGUGCAGAAGGGGAGAGUGGAAUUCCAUGUGUAGCGAUGAAAUGCGUAGAUAUAUGGAGGAACACCGGUGGCGAAAGCGGCUCUCUGGUCUGUCACUGACGCUGAGGCUCGAAAGCGUGGGUAGCGAACAGGAUUAGAUACCCCCGUAGUCCCUGUCUCUUAUACA